GACGAACGCUGGCGGCGUGCCUAAUACAUGCAAGUCGAGCGAAGUUUUUCUGGUGCUUGCACUAGAAAAACUUAGCGGCGAACGGGUGAGUAACACGUAAAGAACCUGCCUCAUAGACUGGGACAACUAUUGGAAACGAUAGCUAAUACCGGAUAACAGUAUUUCUCGCAUGAGAGAUAUUUAAAAGUUGGUUAUGCUAACACUAUGAGAUGGCUUUGCGGUGCAUUAGCUAGUUGGGGGGGUAAAGGCCCACCAAGGCGACGAUGCAUAGCCGACCUGAGAGGGUGAUCGGCCACACUGGGACUGAGACACGGCCCAGACUCCUACGGGAGGCAGCAGUAGGGAAUCUUCCGCAAAGGGCGAAAGCCUGACGGAGCAACGCCGCGUGAGUGAAGAAGGAUUUCGGUUCGUAAAGCUCUGUUGUUAGGGAAGAAUGGAUAUGUAGUAACUAUACAUGUAAGAGACGGUACCUAACCAGAAAGCCACGGCUAACUACGUG
rnacentral:rRNA from 1 species